AUCCUCCUUUUAUUUUUUUUUUUAAGAUUUAUUUAUUUAUUAUAUAUAAGUACACGCUGUAGCUGUCUUCAGAUACACCAGAAGAGGGCAUCGGAUCUCUUUACAGAUGGCUGUGAGCCACCAUGUGGUUGCUGGGAAUUGAACUCAUAACCUCUGGAAGAGCAGUCGGGUGCUCUUAACCGCUGAGCCAUCUCUCCAGCCCCCUCAUCCUCCUUUUAAAUAUUUAAUCUACUUCAGGCAAAGUGGCACGUUAAAAGCUCCAACUCACCAGCAAUCAGCCGUGUGACUUUGAAAAGCCAUUUAGACCCCUCAGAGCAAGUUCUUUUAAAUUUGGAAACGGAGCUGACACCUAGCCUUAGAGUCAUAAUGCAGAACCAGGAGGCAAUGCCUGUGGCCAUGGCAUUUAACCACAAACAUACGCUGAGAUGCUCCCCCUGCGCAGAUUGAGGGCUUCGGAGGGUUCAUACUACUGAUCCUCACUGACUUGAAGAGUUAGGAAGGUCACUGACCCACACCGCAAAAUGAUGGCCAUGGCAUUUGAGGCGCCUUGACCCCUGAGCCUUCACUCUCAAAC
rnacentral:lncRNA from 1 species